CAGUGGCAGAAUGGCAAUGCAGCCGACCGUGGACCUUUUGGUCGGUGGUUCGAGCCCCGG
rnacentral:tRNA from 1 species